rnacentral:rRNA from 1 species
CAGCAGCCACGGUAAUACAGAGGGUGCGAGCGUUAAUCGGAUUUACUGGGCGUAAAGCGUGCGUAGGCGGCUUUUUAAGUCGGAUGUGAAAUCCCUGAGCUUAACUUAGGAAUUGCAUUCGAUACUGGGAAGCUAGAGUAUGGGAGAGGAUGGAAGAAUUCCAGGUGUAGCGGUGAAAUGCGUAGAGAUCUGGAGGAAUACCGAUGGCGAAGGCAGCCAUCUGGCCUAAUACUGACGCUGAGGUACGAAAGCAUGGGGAGCAAACAGGAUUAGAUACCCCAGUAGUCCCUGUCUCUUAUAA